CCUACGGGCGACAGCAGUGAGGAAUAUUGGUCAAUGGACGAGAGUCUGAACCAGCCAAGUAGCGUGAAGGAUGACUGCCCUAUGGGUUGUAAACUUCUUUUAUAAAGGAAUAAAACGAGGCACGUGUGCCUUUUUGCAUGUACUUUAUGAAUAAGGAUCGGCUAACUCCGUGCCAGCAGCCGCGGUAAUACGGAGGAUCCGAGCGUUAUCCGGAUUUAUUGGGUUUAAAGGGAGCGUAGAUGGGUUGUUAAGUCAGUUGUGAAAGUUUGCGGCUCAACCGUAAAAUUGCAAUUGAUACUGGCAGUCGUGAGUACAGUUGAGGUAGGCGGAAUUCGUGGUGUAGCGGUGAAAUGCUUAGAUAUCACGAAGAACCCCGAUUGCGAAGGCAGCUUACUAAACUGUGACUGACAUUGAUGCUCGAAAGUGUGGGUAUCAAACAGGAUUAGAUACCCCUGUAGUC
rnacentral:rRNA from 1 species